rnacentral:sRNA from 1 species
GCUGGGCAGGGUGGCGCAUGUUUGUAAUCCCAGCUCAGGAGGCUGAGGCAGAAGGAUAUCUUCUCCUUUGUUAACCAAAGCCAGCCUCAGCUACAGCGAGAUGCUAAGCAACUCAGUGAGACUCUGUCUCUG